CUUGGACCCACCAUGUCAAGAAGAAACUGACCUGAGGGAAUCUGUGCUCUUCCAUCUACUAUGGAACUUUGCCUUCCAGCAACCUCUUCUAGAAUUGACAGCGGAGAGGGAAUUGUCAUUCAUCAACUUUGACAGGCUAUAAUUUUUCUAACUCUGAUAAAGAGGGUUGGAACAACCUUAUGCAGGAACUGCUAGAAUGACUGGAGUUCAGAAUACAAAAGAAGUAAG